GUCGGCGUCGGUACGGGCCAGCAGUGUCGCGCCGGUGGCGAUGGCGUGCCGGAAACCGGUGUCGGCCGCGGUUCCGGCACCGGGCGACGAUUC
rnacentral:tRNA from 1 species